AACGAACGCUGGCGGCAUGCCUAACACAUGCAAGUCGAACGAGACCUUCGGGUCUAGUGGCGCACGGGUGCGUAACGCGUGGGAAUCUGCCCUUGGGUUCGGAAUAACAGUUAGAAAUGACUGCUAAUACCGGAUAAUGUCUUCGGACCAAAGAUUUAUCGCCCAGGGAUGAGCCCGCGUAGGAUUAGCUAGUUGGUGAGGUAAAGGCUCACCAAGGCGACGAUCCUUAGCUGGUCUGAGACGGAUGAUCAGCCACACUGGACUGAGACACGGCCCA
rnacentral:rRNA from 1 species